rnacentral:tRNA from 1 species
GCCGUUCCUGCGUGUCGGCGCCGCGCACCUCGUUGGUGGCGAGGUGAUACGUGCCGCAGAAGGUCUUCGAGCGGCCGAUCGGCC